AAUGAAUCACAAAAUUGGCUCAUGGAUCGAUGAAGAACGCAACUAGCUGCGAAAAAUAGUGCGAAUUGCAGACACAUUGAGCUCUAAAAUUUCGAACUCACAUGUCUAAAUUUAUUCCAUAUUUCAGCGUGU
rnacentral:rRNA from 1 species